rnacentral:misc_RNA from 1 species
GAUGAAGAACGCAGCGAAAUGCGAUAAGUAAUGUGAAUUGCAGAAUUCAGUGAAUCAUCGAGUCUUUGAACGCACAUUGCGCCCCCUGGUAUUCCGGGGGGCAUGCCUGUCCGAGCGUCAUUGCCGCCCUCAAGCACGGCUUGUGUGUUGGGCCCCCGCCCCCCGGCUUCGGGGGGCGGGCCCGAAAGGCAGCGGCGGCACCGCGUCCGGUCCUCGAGCGUAUGGGGCUUCGUCACCCGCUCUGUAGGCCCGGCCGGCGCCCGCCGGCGACCCCAAUCAAUCUUUCCAGGUUGACCUCGGAUCAGGUAGGGAUACCCGCUGAACUUAAGCAUAUCAGUAAGCGGAGGA